ACAAUAAACCCAUUGUGUUCCCGGUGGCACAUUCCGCGCAUACGCUAGUAUGCACGAGAGUACAAGGGUGGACGCGUGACACGAUUCACCGUUCACCGGCCAUCUCUUUUCUGUUGCGAGUCAAGCCGAACGGAGAAUCGGAUCCGUUCGGUCGGUGGGUUGCCGCUGCCGCCGGCCGGACACGCUCGUGGUGAAUAUCGUUACGAGUUUUAUGUGUAUGUAUGUGGUGUGUGUCGCGCCGGAGAAAGAGAGCACGCGCGCGCGCGCGCGCGCGCGUGUGGUCAUGAGAGAGAGAAAGAGAAAGAAAAAGAGAAAGAGAGAGAGAGUAAGAGACAAGAGCGACACUGCUGUUCGCGACGAAGAGGGGAUACCAACGCGAAAGGGGGAAACUGGUGGGACGACGAGAGUCAAUGUAAGAGGAGAAGGUGGGAGCGAAAGGUUGAGUGCGAUCAGGGGAGGGAUGAGGGAAGCAAGAAGGUGGAGGGAAAGAGAGAGAUCGAGCGUGGCAACAACAUUCGAUUAAUCGUUCUUUACCUGUGGUUUGUUCCUGUACGUGGCGACGGUGGUGGUUGUGACGGGGGUGGCAACGGUGGCGGUGGCGGUGGCGGUGGCGGUAGCGGUUGUGGCGGAUAUGCUUCGCAUCGAACAAAGGCGAGAACGAAAAAGCAAGUGCGUGCGGGUGUAGAGAAGAAAGCGGGACAUAAGAGGAUAGGAGCUAGAGAGAGAGAGAGAGA